rnacentral:rRNA from 1 species
AUUGAACGCUGGCGGCAGGCCUAACACAUGCAAGUCGAACGAGUGGCGGACGGGUGAGUAAUGUCUGGGAAACUGCCUGAUGGCGGGGGAUAAAUACUGGAAACGAUAGCUAAUACCGCAUAACAUCAGGUGUGACCAUAUGGGAUUAGCUUGUAGGUGGGGUAACGGCUCACCACGGCGACGAUCCCUAGCUGGUCUGAGAGGAUGACAGUCCACACUGGAAUUGGGACACGGUCCAGACUCCUACUGGAGGCAGCAGUGGGGAAUAUUGCACAAUGGGCGCAAGCCUGAUGCAGCCAUGCCGCGUGUAUGAAGAAGGCCUUCGGGUUGUAAAGUACUUUCAGCGGGGAGGCGUUACCCGCAGAAGAAGCACCGGCUAACUCCGUGCCAGCCGCCGCGGUAAUUC